AUUCAUAUUUGUUAUUCUAUUAAUUGGAGGUCAAUUAACUAGCUGGAAGUUGUCUAACUUUAAGAGAAUUUGAAGUACAAGAUUCAUAUUUGUUAUUCUAUUAAUUGGAGGUCAAUUAACUAGCUGGAAGUUGUCUAACUUUAAGAGAAUCUGAAGUACAAGGACCUAUUAAUUGGUCAACUAACUAGAAGUUACCUAACCUGAAAGCUAAUUAACUUAGAGCUAACAUAGAGGAUUUGCAAACAAUUAUAAUAUCAAUGUUAUAAAAAGAAGAAAAUUAUAACAAAGUUCAGAUUAGUAUGAAUGCAUGAGGUGCAUGAUUGUGCAAUAUGUAGUAAACUAUAAAGGUCGAAUGUUGCGGUUUUGAAAAUCUAAGAAGAAACGGGCCAUUUUGCGUGCAGAAGAUUGGCAUUUCGAAGAAACGUUUCGUAUUUUAAACAUUUUACUGAAGUGUGAUACAUUAGCAUAGUCGAUGAAAAAUACGUAUUAAAAAGCGGCUACAUCGUCCAAUUAUAAUCUGACGUGAAACGUUUGAACCGUGUAACGCGAAUCGACUUUUCUGUAAUAACUACGCUCAACGAUAGUUGCACGAAAUGAUACGGAAUAAUAGUAAGCCAAGACAGAUCUCAAGAUAGCGUUUGUCAUAAUAACAAGGUAAUAGAGCGUUUCAAAUUUGAAGAAACACCCGCGUUCCACUUUUAGUUCGUAUCUUUUUUUGUUGGCAGUCCUCAGUUUGCAUUUCCUCGUGCAAGAGGCUUAUCGUAGGGCUAGCAGGAUGAUUAGCCGCAUGAAGCUUAAGAAUUGCAGAAUGCACGAUAUGAAUACGUGAUACAUGUUGCGGCCGAAGGUCGAGUGAAAAAGGCGAUAAUAUUAACAUUGUACGCUUCCUUUGCAUAAAAAUUUGCAAUCACAUUAUGUACCUUGAUACGAGAAAAAUUAAUUGUCAACUCGAUGGCAACAUUCUUAGCACGUGAACCGAGUGUCGAAAAAACUCGAAAGUGUUAUCACCUUCAUAUUUUACAAGCUCCGAGUCUAUAAAGUUGAAGAUAUAAUCGCAGAGGUCAAUGCAAUGACCUCUUAAAUAUUUAAACUACGAAAGCAAUCUUUUAUUAUUUAUAAAGCUUAUCGAAAAUGCAACGCGAUUCGUCGUAUUCCGAUGGUCAUCUUUAUAAUAUUUCCUUGGCAUGGAGAAUAGUCGAUACUUCGGGUUUGCGUGUCUGGCGUGGAAGGCGGCUGACCAGAUUCGUUCCUCGACCACUUAAGUAAUCGAGCGACGGCCGAGCGGCUCGUAUAUCACGCUCUAAGUCAACAGUUGCUUUAAGAUCCUUUUACAAGUAUUUUUAUGGGACAGAAUAGUACUUAAUUAGCAACAAUGAAGGUCAGCAUUACUAAAUACAAAUUCCAGUUAAUAUUCAGCAUACGUUGUAUUAACACAUCACCACAUAAGACAUUAAAACAUUGAUUAAAUCUGGAAGAAUCAUGCAGAUCAAUAGUCCUCUGAAAAAUAACAGAAAGUCUUUUUAUUGUUAUUGUUCCUUAUGUUUGCCUAAUAACGGCACCGAUUAAAAUCAGAAUUUCAAGCACGCACCUUCGUGAUAUUUAUGGGGAAAUGUCGGAUAUCGCUCAAGCCUCUUAUCUUCAUGGAGAACGACACUUUACGACUUUCUGAAACUAAAGAAAAAGAAUGACUGAUUAUGAACUGAGCCCUUCUGGUUUUAUAGUAAAGUCAAUACCAGAGGACACCGUUCUGGAAAACUCAUACGUUUUCCCUAUUACUCAUUGCCAGCAUUUCCAGGACAAACUCGUUGACCUCUUUGAAUAGUUUGAUUCUUAGACACGACAGCAAUUUCAUAUAUUUCCAUCAUGAAGGAGAACUUGUAAAACAAUCAUUGGCAUAAGGGAAACCUAACACUCCUCAAAACUGAUAAAAUUUGUAAUUCACACAAUUAGUAAAAUUACAGAAACUAAAAUCCUUGUUAGGCCAAAGUCUGCAAUAGAAAAAGAACUUGCAAAACAAUCAUUGGCAUAAGGGAAACUUAACACUCCUCAAAACUGAUAAAAUUUGUAACUGACAUAAUCAGUAAAAUUACAGAAACCAAAAUCCUUGUUAGGCCAAAGUCUGCAAUAGAAAAAGAACUUGCAAAACAAUCAUUGGCAUAAGGGAAACCUAACACUCUUCAAAAGUGAUAAAAUUUGUAAUUCACACAAUUAGUAAAAUUACAGAAACCAAAAUCCUUGUUGCACCAAUGUCUGCAAUAGGUCAGAAUGAAGUCAUUUCCCUUUUUUAGUUUCUAAUACUGUUUCAGUUGUGCAAUACAUUAGACACCGUCGACACACGUCCAGUGGAACAAUCAUUACAGUGAUAUCGUCUUUGUGUUAGCCUACUCCAAGCUUUCACCCUACUACAAGUUGAGUGGCCUCCACUUAUCCUACUGCCAUCGCUGUCUUCCUUGCUUCUGUAAUAUACGCUUGUUGUGGUACAUUAAUUGAUGUCGCUGCUCAUAUGUUUCCAUGUUUUACAGGACCAUGUAAAUUAUUAGGGAGCACAGAACACCUGCAAUUAUAUUUAUGGUCAUUAUUCAUACUUGUCAGGUAUCAGAUUUAAAUUGAAAUAAUAAUGAAUAUGCCAGAUUGAGUUGCUAUCAUGUAACAUGAUUAAAGACCAGUUUUUAGUUCUACUUACAGUUAUCAUUGAAUGUUACAUCCAAGUCAUUAAGAUGAUAUCCAGGUGCUUGUAGGUCAAACUAGAUUAUGCAGAACCAUUGAGUAUUUGACUUUAACUAACAAGAUAAGAUGCAGAGGCAUAUUUUUCAAGGUGCAUCAAGGAAACAUCGCGUACAUCAUAAGGGUUAUCAGGUCCGUUUCAACAAUGUCCUCGAGGUUCAGAUCCAAAUUUAGAACAAGCGUUCCAUGCCAGUGGGCCAUGAAAAAAAUUAUAUUAAAUUAAACGUGAACACGAAACCGUGGCUCCCGUUAACUUAUUAAGCAAUUCAUUAACUCACAAUGGUUUAGAAUUUAGACGCAGUAUAAAAUUUAAAAAAUAGAUGGUCAAACGUGAUAAUAUUACAUUGUUGACUUUAAGUAAUACCAUUUCAUUUCAGACAAUAUUUUUACGAAUUAUAAGUUUUCUUCGCAUCGUUCGCUCGAAGGACAACCAUGUUUACGUGGUGCGUGUUUCGGAUUUCGUGUCGUGAACAUACCACAAAAGUCGCUACC